rnacentral:ncRNA from 2 species
GGGCAUUUGGUCUAGUGGUAUGAU